rnacentral:rRNA from 1 species
CUACGGGUGGCUGCAGUGGGGAAUAUUGCACAAUGGGCGCAAGCCUGAUGCAGCAACGCCGCGUGAGGGACGAAGGCCUUCGGGUUGUAAACCUCUUUUAGCAGGGAAGAAGCGAAAGUGACGGUACCUGCAGAAAAGGCACCGGCUAACUACGUGCCAGCAGCCGCGGUAAUACGUAGGGUGCAAGCGUUGUCCGGAAUUAUUGGGCGUAAAGAGCUCGUAGGCGGUUUGUCACGUCUGCUGUGAAAUUUCGAGGCUCAACCUCGAACUUGCAGUGGGUACGGGCAGGCUAGAGUGCGGUAGGGGAGAUGGGAAUUCCUGGUGUAGCGGUGGAAUGCGCAGAUAUCAGGAGGAACACCAAUGGCGAAGGCACAUCUCUGGGCCGUAACUGACGCUGAGGAGCGAAAGCGUGGGGAGCAAACAGGAUUAGAUACCCGGGUAGUC